rnacentral:rRNA from 1 species
UUUUCCGGUUGAUCCUGCCGGACCCGACUGCUAUUUGGGUGAGGUUAAGCCAUGCGAGUUGAAUGGGAUACCUAAAUUUUCCAUAGCAAACUGCUCAGUAACACAUGAUCAACUUACCCUAUGGAGAACAAUAAUCUCGGGAAACUGAGGAUAAUGGUUCAUAGUUGAUUAGGCUUGGAAAAGUUUUUCAAUCAAAAGAGCAAGGAAAAUGGUCCUUGUUUGCCAUAGGAUAGGAUCGUGGUCGAUUAUGGUAGUUGGUGAGGUAAAGGCUCACCAAGCCGAUAAUCGAUAGGGGCCGUGAGAGCGGUUGCCCCGAGAUGGGUACUGAGACAGCGACCCAGGCCUUACGAGGCGCAGCAGGUACGAAACCUCGUCAAUACACGAAAGUGUGAACGGGUUACCCAAAGUGUCCAUUUGGACUGUGGUAGGUGAGUAAUGUCCCCUACUAGAAAGGAGAGGGCAAGGCUGGUGCCAGCCGCCGCGGUAAAACCAGCUCUUCAAGUUGUCGGGAUAAUUAUUGGGCUUAAAGUGUCCGUAGCCGGUAUGGUAAGUUCCUGGUAAAAUCUGGUAGCUUAACUAUCCGUAGGCUAGGAAUACUGCUAUACUAGAGGGCGGGAAAAGUCUGAGGUACUACAGGGGUAGGGGUGAAAUCUUAUAAUCCUUGUAGGACCACCAGUGGCGAAGGCGUCAGACUGGAACGCGCCUGACGGUGAGGGACGAAAGCCAGGGGAGCGAACCGGAUUAGAUACCCGGGUAGUCCUGGCCGUAAACGAUGCACACUAGGUGAUGGUACGGUCAUGAGCCGUAUCAGUGCCGUAGGGAAACCGUUAAGUGUGCCGCCUGGGAAGUACGGUCGCAAGGCUAAAACUUAAAGGAAUUGGCGGGGGAGCACCACAAGGGGUGAAGCCUGCGGUUCAAUUGGAGUCAACGCCGGGAAUCACUAGU